CAUGGCUUAGGAAGAGCUGUAAACGGGAGCUUGCCGGCUGGCCACCAGCUCAGGGGCCCUGGGGGCGGCCUCCGGGUUCUGCUCCCUGUUCUUCCCUUUGACCAAUGUCACUCCUGGACAGAUAACGGGACCAAACGCCCUUCACUUCCUCGAGUCCUCAUGUAUGUCAUGGUUCCUCUUUUAGGAAAACAUGAGUACAAGACGCAAAGCAAAAGAAGAGACUAAAGGCAAAUUACCCCAUCACCUCGUUUCGUCCCUCCCCUUCGUUAUUAUAGAAGAGCUUGAUCAAAUUCCCUUUGUCGCGCCACACACACGCAGAGUAGGUGAAGGGCACCCUAAGACAACUUAUUUCUUUCCCGCCUCACAGAAAGCCUUUACGAAAUCCUCACACCAUCUCCGGACGCAAAGCUUUCGCAUUCAGCUUGAGGAGCUAAACCAUUUCAAGCCAAGGUUUCUUCACAGAUUAGGAUAAAGGAUGAAGAGAAGUAAACUGAAUUACUAAGGAUGCAACAUUAAUGGAGAGAGCCAAGUGAUGUAAAUCGUGGCUGGCCAUGAGUGGAUCUUGAGUGCCAGUUAUCUAGAGAAAUUCCACGUGGCUGUUCCAGGAUGGAUUAGGCACCAAUGACUCUCUUUCACCCUCGAGCUGGAAUCCUGCCCCUUUAACACCUUUCCAGAGAGAGGCAACCCAUGGAGGGUCACAGCAAGAUGGGAUGGUUGUGCCUGGUAGUAAAAAUAUGUAUCACUCUUCAUUUCAUCCAGCUUUGAAGCUUCUGCUAGCAGCUCACACAUGACCCCAAGGGCAGCUCCUCAAGUCUGCUAAAGAAAAGUUAAGUAGAAUUAAUUUUGUUCAAUAUCUCCCAUUUUGUUAGAUUCAUCAUUUUCAGUCAAGAAUGACAAUAUUAAUGGAACCAAAAGAAUAUAUACUAUUAACAUUUCGUCUUAAUUCUACAAAUGUCUAAAAGUCUCUGUAAUUCCCUUAAAAAUAAAAAAAAUGCAAUAUUAAUUUAGGGAGCACUCUAGUUGAGCAAUCAGUUCUAUAGAAAAUCAACGUUAUAUUACUCCUAUUAUUUACAGUAUAUGGCAUUACAUCGUAAAACUACCUUAUCUUUUACUUGGGAAGACAAGGGGUGGAGGAUUUGAAGAACCAAAACUUACAGAAUUCCUAGUAUGAACUGAGCAUAUUACUUCCUCUGCAUCUACAAGCUUCUUAUAAUUAUCUCCAUCUUGUAUGAAAGAAAACAACCUUCAGAGAAAUUAGAUAACCAGUUCUCUGUCUCACAGACAGUGUGAAGCUGGUAUUCAAAGCCCCGGCUGUCUGACUCCAAAAUCUCUGUUCUUUCUACUCCAAAUUUCACAUGUAUUUAUUUUACUUCACAUGGAUCUGUAUCUGGGAUUACUCUGUAAUACAUAAAUUAUAGAAAAAAAAUUUGGCUGGGCACAGUGGCACACGCCUGUAAUCCUAGCACUUUGGGAGGCUGAGGUGUGUGGAUUGCCUAAGCUCAGGUGUUCGAGACCAGCCGGGGCAACAUGGUGAGACCCCAUAUCUACUAAAAAUACAAAAAAAAAAAAUUAGCUGGGUGUGGUAGUGCAUGCCUGUAAUCCCAACUAAUUGGGAGGCUGACGCAGGAGAAUCACUUGAACCCAGGAGACAAAGGUUACAGUGAGCUGAGAUCGAGCCACUGUACUCCAGCCUGGGCAACAGAAUGAGACUGGCUCCAAGCCACGCCCCCUGCCCCAGAGCACCAAAUUUAAACUAGCUGGAACCCAACUAAUUAAAAUCUUGAAUUAAAUGAUUCUUCCUCUACCAUAUCUCCAUUCUCUGCCACCAUCACAUUCUCAGCCUGUAGGGAUAACAAGUGGGGACAAAACAACUAGGACCUAUGAUUGUUUUUAAUCUUUAAAAUGUGCCAUGAGGUAAAAUAAUUAGCCCAACUUCCUAAAUCAAUUCCAUUACACUGUGGUAACAAGGAUUUCUGAUAUAAACCCAAAGCAUUGUGAGAUUUUAAAUUAUUGAAGAAAGAUUCAAUUAUGUUCAGGAUAUCCUACUUAGGCAGGGAAAUGUACUCAUUUCCCUAAGUUUUUAGGUAAUAAACUGAAAAAAAGUUGAUUUUUUUUUUGUGUGUGUGUGAGGGGAAGGGACUAUCUAGAAAACUCCAUCACAUAGUUCCUUGACUGCGUAGGUUAGUCUAUAUAAUUAUUUAAAAAGAAAACUUCAUUUCCUUCCCAACCCCAAAACUACCAUGUAGAUAAAAACAAGUGCCAAGGGCAAUGAGGCAAAAUGCUUGUAUUUGAAUCCCAGUUCCAUCACUAGUCAGCCUUGGGACCAAUGGCAAGACCUUACCUCUUUGGCAUCAGAUGCUGCAGCAAUGAAAUAAUGAGUUAGAAUAAGAUAAUCUCCCAGUCCUUGCCUGGGGUGUGCAUUUAUGAAUUCAUUCAUUCAACAAAUAUAAAUAUUUUCAUAGACACAAUGUUUCAAUGUUUUAUGAUACCAUCUUGACAUUCAUCAGCAUUACAUAUUUAUUAGGCAGAGUGAUUACAAAGAAAGACUCAGUCAUUUCCAAGGAGCUCACAAGGGGAAAUCUGACAUUUACACAACAGUCAAAGGUAGCCAAAGGAAACAACAAUGGUCAGUAUGAGCAAGGCACUACAGGAUUCCCCAAGAAUCAUUUAAUUUUUUCAUUAUUUCAGUAGUUGUGCUAAGACAAAAGUGAUGAUCUAUGGAACACUCCUUAGCCUCCACACUGGACAUGAGAUUGUAUUUAGUAUUUGCUCUGCAGUCCUCCCUUGUUGUGAAAAGCACAUAUAUCCAGAAUAGUGACUAAACAUAACCAUAGGCAAAUGGCUACAUGCACAUAGAGAGUCUACACAGGAAAUGUGAACAUAUAUGUACUGAACAUUCAUACAUCAAUAUCCAUCAUAUUUGCCUUCAAUUCAGUGCUAUAGCAAAUGUUUACUGUGUGUUUGGUGCUGAGUGGGCUAUAGAGGUAGAAAAGAAAGGAUCUUGCCCCUCUAGGAGCACACCACUUAUUCCAUUUACUAAGAAAGACGGAAAUAUAACCAAUUCCAACAGGGGCAAUGAUAGUGGUUCUAACAGUAAUACUUCCAGAGUGUAGGAAAGGAAUACUUAAUGUUGUCUAAAGAAUCUGGGAAUUCUCAGAAAAGAUAGGACUUUAUCUGAGCUCUAAAGAAAGAGUAGCUCUUUGAUGGGGCAAUGUGUGUGAAAAUGUGUAUAGAGAAGCAAGAAGGCCUAACCUUUUAAGUAGUAACAAUAUGUCCAGACCCAGUGAUAGGAUCCAUGUGGGCCAGAAUCAGUAAAUCCAUAUGGGUGCAGCAUUAGGUCUUUGAGGAAUGUAGUGGAGAUCAAGGUUAGAAAGAGACACCAAAGCCAAGCGCAGGGGCUCACGCCUGUAAUCCCAGCACUUUGGGAGGCCGAGGCAGGCGGAUCACCUGAUGUCAGGAGUUUGAGAUCAGCCUGACCAACAUGGAGAAACCCCAUCUCUACUAAAAAUACAAAAUUAGCCAGGCGUGGUGGCACAUGCCUCUAAUCCCAGAUACUCAGGAGGCAGAGGCAGGAAGAUCGCUUGAACCCGGGAGGUGGGGGUUGUGGUGAGGGUGAGCUGAGACUGCACCAUUGCACUCCAGCCUGGGCAACAAGAGCGAAAUUCCAUCUCAAAAAAAAAAAAAAGAAAGAAAGAAAAGAAGGAGACACCAAAGCCACAGAACUUCACUCUGAUAUUGAGUAACAAUUAAGAGCAUGAAAUCUGGAGCUAGACUUCCUGAGUGUGAAUCCUGGCUCCAUGUGAACUUAGGCAAGUUACUUAGCCUCUUCUGUUACAUUAAAAAGAGUUGAAGUGUGGGAAUGCUUUAAACAGUGCCUAGUAUUUAAUAAAGUCCAUAUAUAAGUUCGGUAUUCAAUAUACAAUGGGGAAGCAAUUAAGGUAAUGGAAUUAGCGUGUGACCUAACUGGUCUACUUAUAUAGUUUUCCUUACUGUGCUAUAUUAAGGAGGCUGUAUUUAGGAGCUGAAAAAGGAGUUUGUGGUUGUCAUUGUGUUGCAAAGUUAAGAGGAAUAUAUAUUUCAUCUAUGUAAUUAGUAAUGAUAGGUUCUCAGUCUUGGGAGCUCUCAGGUUGUCCAGAUCCCAAAGACAGACCAUGGACGAUGGUUCACAUUCUCAGAAACUCCUGGGAUUUGGAAGGCACAUUUCCUUUCAUUAAAAUACUCAUGGUAGGUACAUGCUUUCAUAUGAAAUGAUCAUUCCAUUUCUUAUUUACUCUUUCAUGAUUUUUAUUAGAUUUUCUUAGAAAAUACUAGUGUAUUAGAAAAUAAAAAUUAGGGCUCAUAGGAAAGAACAUUGGAUGUCUAGCCAGAUUGGAACACAUAAUUCUUUUAAGAGAUGCCAGGGACAUUUCCCUCUUAGGAGAACUGGGAGCAACAGGCUUAAAGGGAUUCUACACACUGCAUUAAUUAUUAGAACAUGACUCUUUGUUCCUCUAUUCUAUUACUCACUGAUUACAAACCUUAAGGAGAAAGGUCAUUAUUACAAACAGCAAGAAAACAGAGGUUUAAGUUAAAAUUGUCUUGGAAGGCUGUAAAACGGUGAUUUUCCUUCCUUUGAGGAAUAGUAAAUGCAAGUAUUAUAAUUCAUAAGGGCUACUCCUUUAUACAAUUCAAAAUCAAAAUCUCAUUACUCUCAUCAUCGCAUUUUCAAUAAGAAUUAAUUUCUGAAUUUUAUUAAUUUUAACUAUGGACUCUGCUCAAUAUUCUCAGGUUUGGAGAAAAAGUAGGGCAGCAUUUCUAUUCCAUGCACUGAAAAAGACCUGGAAACGAAGCGCAAAAGCCAUCACACUCCAGGAAAUGUAGCAAGGCAGUGUGACCUAGUUGUAGACCCAGACAACUGGUAUUCUUUUCUAGUUUUCUGCUCUCUGGGCCACAUCAUAGUCCUAACUUCUCUGAGCUUGGUUUUCUCUCUCUGUUGAAGUGUACAUUAAUGCAGGGAAUUUACUAUUGUGGUAAUAUUCUUGUAGUCACCAAUGGUAAUUCUCUCUCUCUGUCUCUCUUCCUCGCUCUUUCUCUCUCUCUCCUUCUCUCUUUCUCUCUUAUUUUGCUUUAUAAAGACUCAAACUAGAGGGUGAUAGCUACCCUAAAAGUCCAGAAUUCACCACUACACAAUAUAUUCAUGUAAUGGAAUGGCACUUGUACCUCUUAAAUUUAUUUUUAAGGCUCAAACUAGGAAGAAAUUAGAUUUUAUGUAUACAUUUAUGAAUAUGUAUGUAUACUGUACAUGAUGAAAUUAUAUAAUAUACAGUCAUGUUGUAGAUGUUUAAAAAUCAUGCUUCCAGCCAGGCACGGUGGCUCACGCCUGUAAUCCCAGCACUUUGGGAGGCCGAGGCGGGUGGAUCAUGAGGUGAAGACAUAGAGACCAUCCUGGCCAACAUGGUGAAAUCCUGUCUCUACUAAAAAUACAAAAAUUAGCUGGGCAUGGUGGUGGGCACCUGUAGUCCCAGGUACUCGGGAGGCUGAGGUAGGAGAAUCGCUUGAACCCAGAAGGCAAAGGUUGCAGUGAGCCAAGAUUACACCACUGCACUCCAGCCUGGCAACAGAGCAAGACUCCGUUUCAAGACUAAAAAAACAAAAAACAAACAAACAAAAAAUCAAUAUAUUAUAAUUCAUCAUUGUUAUUAUUUUAAUGCUUAAAUGUUUCCCAAAUUUAACCCAAGGGAGCCCAAGACAGUUCCUUAUCCAUUGGUCAUUGCUUCAUGAUUUUCUGAGCAUGUCUUGCUUUCCAGCACAAUAGUGUAUUCCAGAAGCAUAUUUAUAUACUCCUCACCUGGAAUUGACCACUUCCCCCAAGGAAUUCUGACUCCCUUUAGUAGGCAAUGGUCUUUAGAAAUCAACACCUGAAAGUCACAACUGGAAUUUGAACCCAGACUGUGAGACUGCAGAGCAUGCUCUCAACAUCGUACUAUAUGACUCUAAUUAAGUAUAAUAUCCUCUAAUAAGUGAGGUACACCAAAGAUGCUCUAGGAAUACAGAGGAGGAUGUGGGUGGAAAAGAAGGGAGGAUUUCACUGGGAAGGCUUGCCUUGCAAAUCUACCUUUACUGUUAUUUCCAUGCUGAUACCAGAGUGAUUUCAUUUAACCACCUGGACACUAUGGAAACAGUCUUUCCUACUUGGGACCAAAUCUAUCCCAAAUUAUGGUUUUCCCAUAUUUCACCCUAGUCACAAAAAUGUCUGAAAAACUCCUCUUUCCUGGUAUUCAAAAAGAGCUAAGAGAAGCCACUCCUCUCCUUCAUUCUACUCCUUUGACUUCCUUUACACAUUCACACAUUCUGUUUCGGAUUUCAUUGUUUCCUCAAAGCAUACAAAGUCUCUUUCAAAAGGAAUUCUCUUUCUUCAGAGUCAUGGUUUGGGAGCUUCUAACUCCUACCCUUCUCAUAAUAGACCUCUCCAGACCUCAUUAUCUUAGCAUAAAAGUUAGUACAGAAUGUCAGCAUGUUUAAAACCCGACUUCUUUCCUUUCUGCAAAUAAAUAAAUAAACAAACCCAAGUUUAGAUUUCAACUAUCUUGCCUCAGCCAUGUGUGAGCACCUCUCAAAUCCACAUUUGUUUUAAGAAGGCAAUUUUUUUUUACCCUAAGUUUAAAUUUGCAUUGUGAGGGAGUAUAGGAGAAGAUGGGCAGCUUGGAGUUAACACCAGGCCAGGUUUCCUUAAAGGGAGCAGCAAAAGCAAGCCAGCUGAGUGAUCACCUGGGUUGCAGCGCCUGAAAAUACAGAGCCUCGUGGUUUUGUGCAGUGCUAGAUGGAGUCUCUUCCCUGGCAUCCUUCACUUGUCACUACCGUGUGUUUUCUUUAAUACUAUUGCUACUGCAGUUGCCACUGCCGCUAUCAGUAAUGAAAUUAAUAAUAAUAAUAACAUCCUGACCUAUUCUGCCAUCGCAAAUUUCAGUCCAUUCUAGCCCGCAGAGGAGAUGGCCAGCCUGUAACACUGCAGUUGAAUAUUAAUUAAGUGAUCUUUCAGUAGCACAAGGGAAGGAAUCAAGGGCCUGUUUAAAACCAUUCCCUUAGAUCUAUUGCAGAUAGGAAUCAAUAAAGCAUCCAUGUUCAGGGUCACAAGUUGGCUUGGAAAACAAAUCCACAACUGAGAACCCUAUGGCCUCCCCUGGAGCACUCCAGGCCAGAUCUCUCCCUGUCUGAUGACAAACUCCAAGAGCCAGGGUAACCCAUUACUCACUCCCAAGCUGUUGUGGGCUUUUUUUUUUUUUUUUUUUUUUUGCUGUUGCUUGACUAUAAGCCAAACAAAAUGAACGUUCAUAUGGUGAACUUGGCAGCUGUCCCACUCCAGACUGUGCUUUUCCACAAGCCAAAGGAGGCUUUGAAGCUGGCCUCCCCUCCACUUUGCCCCAAGCUGGGGAAUUACCCUUGGAGGAGCAGAGAUCAGCUGGCACUGAGCCAUGCUGCCCUUUGGGUCAGGAGACAUUCAAGAAAGGCCCGGCCUAUGGGCCUCAUAGCUGAGCAGAAUGACUUGGCCUGUUCCCAGGGCUGCCAAAGGUGUCCUGUAUCUUUUUGCUGAAUUUCUAGGGAUAAAAGCUUAGCAUUUUAUACUUACACCUUAACAUAAGAAUAUCUGUCCUUUUGCCUGUAUGUAUUGAGAUAGAAAGGUGUCCCACUGCAAGGCUUUAGAAAUGUUUUGCAAACUCACACUCAGUUUGCCAAUAAUUCACAGUAAAAUCUGAACUCACAUAAUCAAGAUUGGAUACAAAGAGCACUGGAAUGAAGGGAUGGAUGAGUGAACAAAUGAAAUUAGACUAUACCACGAAGGAAUGGAGUACAUGAAUGAAGACCAGACAUCAGGAAUCUGGGUUUUGGUCCUGGCUCAGUCCCUUCCUGACUUCUCAUUUAACCACUUGCAGGUCAACAGCCCCACCUAGAAAAUAAAAGACUUGGAGAAAUUAUUUUAUCUCUUCCAGAUAUAGAUGAUUUAUUAUAUCACUUGUGUGCAUAUACAGAUUAAUAGUCAAGCAUGAAAGCAGUCUAUAAUUUGUAGCCAUCAGUAACAAUCAAACAGCCUCCAAAUAACCGGAAAUCCAAAAGCAGCCAAAAAUUGAAUUAUACCGCAUGAUUAACAAAUUGUGAAUAUGAAUUUUGACUCUGUCACAAGGUCAGGUUACUCAGCCUCUGUGGCAUGGCUCACUGUAAAUAUUCUAGACACAUGUGCUCUCAAACUAAAGUAUUUUUAAAAUAUAACAAAAUUUACCCUUAACAAUUUAAAUUGUUAUAUUUAAAUUGUUGUUAUUAAAUUAAAUUGUUGUAUUAAAUUAAUUGUUAUAUAUAAAUUGUUAUAUUUAAAGUAUAACAAUUUACCCUAUAUAUUAGGGUAAAUAUUAUAUUUACUCUUGGGAUAUUAUACUAAUGUCCCAAGAUGGACACAGAUAAGCUCUUCAAAAUGGUUCCUAUUUGAAUACUCUAAUUCUGGAGGAAACAAAGUGUUCGAAUCAUACCAAAGGUCUUCCAAGUAAUGAACAAGUAAAGGAGCACUUCAUAAAGUAAACUAGAAUGCCACAAUUAGUAUGGAUGCUUAAGAUUACUCAAAUGUGUGGUUUUUCUAACACUAAUCUAAUUUAGAAAUGUAUAUUAUAGUAUUAGAAAUGAAUACUAUAAUUUAGAAAUACUCACUACUUCUGACUAUUCUUUUUCCUCUAUUUUUAUUUUGUAAUUUUGAAUUUUUUACUUUUCCUUUUAAGAGACAGGGUCUUGCUCUGUCACCCAAGCUGCUGUGCAGUGGCAUGAUUAUAGCUCACUGUAUCCUCAAACUCCUGGGCUCGAGCAAUCCUCUUGCCUUGGUUCCCAAAAUUCAGGGAUUACAGAUGUGAGCCACUGUGCUUGGCAAUUUUAAAGUCUUAAAACAGUGUUAUAUUAAUAUAAAUCAUGGUAGGAUUUGACAUUUCAAAGAACUUGAGGAUAAAAACAUUUCUUAGGGGACCAAAAAUGAUCACUAAUUUGUAAAAUGGGCCUAGACUCACCCACAUCUCCCAAGUGAUGUUUCCUUCUUCAGAGCUGCUCUACAUGUAAUUAAGAGAACAGAAGGGCCGCCUGCAUCAAUCAAAUGCACAACCUUCCCUAGCACACACAGUUCCAAUGAAAAUCCAAACAGCUAUUGGGAUGAACUGAGGAAUGAUGUUUAUCAGGUCUUCAAGGUGAAAAUACCACCAGCAUUUAUUACUGAGAGAAGAAUCUUUUAGCAAACAAUAGACCAAUAAAUUUUACCUCUCAAAAAAGUGUUUCACUUCAUUCUUCCACUUUUGACUCCAAGUCAUAAAAGACCCAGCGCAGAAUAAAGUAGGUAUGCUGAGAGGGUUUAGACAUCCUCUCUCAUGCCCAAGCAAGAUCAUAUGCUUAAAAAUGGUCCUUGGCAGAAGAAUAUAUCUUUAAUUUCUUUAACAUAUUAAAAAUUAAGCCUGGGGCUGGGCGCUGGGGCUCGCACCUAUAAUCCCAGCACUUUCGGAGGACGAGGCGGGCAGAUCACCCAAGGUCAGGAGAUCAAGAACAGCCUGCCCAACAUGGUGAAACCCCGUCUCCACUAAAAAUAUAUAAUUAGCUGGGCACGGUGGCAUGAGCCUGUAAUCCCAGCUACACGGGAGGCUGAGGCAGGAGAGUUGCCUGAACCCUGGAGGCGGAGGUUGCAGUGAGCCGAGAUUGUGCCAUUGCCCUCCAGCCUGGGCAAAAAGGGCAAAACUCCAUCUCAAAACAAAAACAAACAAAUGAAAAACCAAACCUGGAAGAAUAAGAUCAUACAGUUUUCCCAGCUGUGUAUGAGAUUCUUCUCACCAAAACUUAGCCACAAAGCUGGAGUUAGAGCGAAAGAGGCCGUGAAGUAGAUGAAAAAAAGAGAAGCCCUUCCUUUUUGGAGACUGGGCGAUUGUGGUUUUAGAGAAAAAUAAUAAAACAUAUAUUCUCUGAUUCCAUCUGUGUUAAAACUGCAAAUCAGAGUUAUAUUUGAAAAAAUGUAGGAGAGAAAUCUCCUUUUGCUACAUGCACUUUAAAUUCUCAAGGAAGUAUACUAGCUGUGUUCUCAGAAGAAAACAAAUAGAAUGCUAGAUAAUAUUUACAUCCCUUGCAUACCAAACCAGAGGAAACAAACAGCCCUGUUCAGAAACUGGGCAGGUGAGGAAACAGUUUAAACCUGAAGGAACUCUAUCACUGUGUUAUGCUCCUGGAGAAGCAAGAGACCUCCUGAGAUCAUCAACUUUUAAAAGUAGUGUUUAAUCUUCCAGGGAUGAACCUUCUAUUGCAACAUACAUAAUAACAAAGUUUGUAAAACAUAUUGUGGCAUUUAAUCUAUAGAUGCUUAUUAUAGGAAAUAGAAGUUAUUCAUUUAAACUGUAAAUGUAAAUACCAGCUUGUGUCAACUGACACACUACUAUGUAAAUUGUAUAGAUACUUCUGUAAGUCAGAGAGCUCCAGACUCCGUAGUCUGAACUUCCCUUUGCAGAUUGAAUAAGAAAAGCUAAGCAAGUGAUGUUUACCACACAGUUUCAUGUAGCCCAAAUGAUGAAGAGCCAUUGUGAAUAUCACCUACUUUGACCCAUAAUGCUCCACUGUCCUAGAGAUUAUAUUUUACCGUCUUGGUGACUCUAUUGUUUUGCAGUUCGGGUUUGGAUUUGAUAAGUAAAAUGGCAGCGUGAAAAUGUUAGCCUCAUGCUUAAUAGGCUAGGCUAUGAGGAAGAAAAUGUUAAACAAUAGCAUUGGCAUAUUUUUUCCUAUAUAUUUGAGAACCAAAAAUUAAAAUUAAGAAGGCAAAAUAGGAAUACAUAGGUUUUAGAAAUAAUAGUGCAUAUAUGCUCCAAAGUAUACUAUUUACCAUUCAAUUAAAAGAAUCAAAAGAACUUUAUUGAUUGGCAAGAAAAAUUAGAAAAACAAAUAUAUAUAAAACAAGAAUUGCUCUCUCUAGCAAUCUGUAACCCAGUUGGGUGAUGGCCUCAAUUAGACAGAAGCAGUAUAAUUGGGAAUUUGAUCUUUGCUCCUUUGUCGAGUUCCUAGAAAAUUUCUUUAACUGUAGAUGGAGAAAUUAUUCUAAAUGAUAGUCAGCAAAAAAGAGCAUCUGAAAUACAUUUCUCACUCUCUGGAGAGUGAGAAUGGCCCAGCACAGAUUCCAGCAUUAUAAAUAGGAUCUUCGGCAUGUACUUGACAUAGGAAUAUAUCAGGAAUCUUAGUAAAGAUGGGGAGUUUUCACUGUUUCAAGCAGGACAACCACAGUUUCCACGUAUCUAUGUGUUGGUUGUAACCUAGGUUGCAGGCAACUGCAAUCACCCAAGCACACCCAUCACUAGUGUGCCAUUCCCAAUGUUCAUAACUUGCACUUUGUCAAGACUUCAUUGAAAAAGUACAGGCAAUAAGUGGGAAAAAUAAUUGUUCAUUUGGUGGCAAAUUUAAUGGGUUUUGAAGCCUGAGGUGUGGGCAAUACACCCACACACACACAUGCAAACACACACACAUUGAUAUGGUUUGGCUGUGUUCCCACCCAAAUCUCAACUUGAAUUAUAGUUCCCAUAAUCCCCACAUGUCGUGGGAGAGACCCAGUGGGAGGUAAUUGAAUCAUGGGGGUGGUUACCCUCAUGCUAUUCUCAUGAUAGUGAGGGAGUUCUCACGAGAUCUGAUGGUUUUAUAAGAGACUUUGCCCCCUUUGCUUGCCACUUAUCCUUGCUGCCGCCAUGUGAAGAAGGACGUGUUUGCUUCCCCUUCCACAGUGAUUGUAAGUUUCCUGAGGCCUCCCCAGCCCUGCAGAACUGUGAGUCAUUUAAACCUCUCUCCUUUAUAAAUUAUCCAGUCUCGUGUAUUUCUUCAUAACGGCAUAAGAAUGGACUAAUACACAUAUUUUAGAAAGGAACUCUAGCAAUUCAAUUUCUAAUCUAAUUAUAAUGUUCAUAAUACCACAUUGUUCUGAGAAGUAGUUAUGCUGCCAUAAAAUUCCAGAAUACAAAUGUAAAGGUUUGCUUCAGAUUCUGUCUAAAAAAUGGAAAAUUUCAAACUGAAGACAUCUAUUUGGUUACUUCUUAGACAUUCCAUUUAAAGAGGUAAGUAGAGAACUAGAUAAAGGAGGUGUGGAAGAAGUAAAGGGAAUUUAGCUGAUGCAUCUAUGGCUCUAAUAGCAGGCAUGUUCCAUCUGCUUACUUUGCUAAGUAGCAUAUGCUGCCUGCUAUAGACACUUAAAUGCAACUGAUGGUAGAAUUGAUCAAUUUAAAGAGAUAAUUCUUUGGAGGAAGAAAGGGAACAAACUAUCUCUGGAUAACUUAAUCCAAUAUAGAAAAAUAAAACCAUAUGGAUUUAAUGACAGAUUUAAAGUCAUUUUAAAAGAAAUCAUAAGUAAGUAUGCAAAAUAGCUAAACUAUUUGCUAAAACUUUUGAAAAUCAUAAUGAAAUUGGAAAAUUUCUAUUUUCAGGAAAAAAUAGAAAUCAAGAUGAACUGAAGAAAUAUGAAUCCAAAGAAUAGAC
rnacentral:lncRNA from 1 species